rnacentral:rRNA from 1 species
GAUUAAGUUAUUAAGGGCGCACGGUGGAUGCCUUGGCACUAGAAGCUGAUGAAGGACGUUACUAACGACGAUAUGCUUUGGGGAGCUGUAAGUAAGCUUUGAUCCAGAGAUUUCCGAAUGGGGAAACCCAGCAUGAGUUAUGUCAUGUUAUCGAUAUGUGAAUACAUAGCAUAUCAGAAGGCACACCCGGAGAACUGAAACAUCUUAGUACCCGGAGGAAGAGAAAGAAAAUUCGAUUCCCUUAGUAGCGGCGAGCGAAACGGGAAGAGCCCAAACCAACAAGCUUGCUUGUUGGGGUUGUAGGACACUCUAUACGGAGUUACAAAGGACGACAUUAGACGAAUCAUCUGGAAAGAUGAAUCAAAGAAGGUAAUAAUCCUGUAGUCGAAAAUGUUGUCUCUCUUGAGUGGAUCCUGAGUACGACGGAGCACGUGAAAUUCCGUCGGAAUCUGGGAGGACCAUCUCCUAAGGCUAAAUACUCUCUAGUGACCGAUAGUGAACCAGUACCGUGAGGGAAAGGUGAAAAGCACCCCGGAAGGGGAGUGAAAUAGAACCUGAAACCGUGUGCUUACAAGUAGUCAGAGCCCGUUAAUGGGUGAUGGCGUGCCUUUUGUAGAAUGAACCGGCGAGUUACGAUUUGAUGCAAGGUUAAGCAGUAAAUGUGGAGCCGUAGCGAAAGCGAGUCUGAAUAGGGCGUUUAGUAUUUGGUCGUAGACCCGAAACCAGGUGAUCUACCCUUGGUCAGGUUGAAGUUCAGGUAACACUGAAUGGAGGACCGAACCGACUUACGUUGAAAAGUGAGCGGAUGAACUGAGGGUAGCGGAGAAAUUCCAAUCGAACCUGGAGAUAGCUGGUUCUCUCCGAAAUAGCUUUAGGGCUAGCCUCAAGUGAUGAUUAUUGGAGGUAGAGCACUGUUUGGACGAGGGGCCCCUCUCGGGUUACCGAAUUCAGACAAACUCCGAAUGCCAAUUAAUUUAACUUGGGAGUCAGAACAUGGGUGAUAAGGUCCGUGUUCGAAAGGGAAACAGCCCAGACCACCAGCUAAGGUCCCAAAAUAUAUGUUAAGUGGAAAAGGAUGUGGCGUUGCCCAGACAACUAGGAUGUUGGCUUAGAAGCAGCCAUCAUUUAAAGAGUGCGUAAUAGCUCACUAGUCGAGUGACACUGCGCCGAAAAUGUACCGGGGCUAAACAUAUUACCGAAGCUGUGGAUUGUCCUUUGGACAAUGGUAGGAGAGCGUUCUAAGGGCGUUGAAGCAUGAUCGUAAGGACAUGUGGAGCGCUUAGAAGUGAGAAUGCCGGUGUGAGUAGCGAAAGACGGGUGAGAAUCCCGUCCACCGAUUGACUAAGGUUUCCAGAGGAAGGCUCGUCCGCUCUGGGUUAGUCGGGUCCUAAGCUGAGGCCGACAGGCGUAGGCGAUGGAUAACAGGUUGAUAUUCCUGUACCACCUAUAAUCGUUUUAAUCGAUGGGGGGACGCAGUAGGAUAGGCGAAGCGUGCGAUUGGAUUGCACGUCUAAGCAGUAAGGCUGAGUAUUAGGCAAAUCCGGUACUCGUUAAGGCU